CUGGUUGCCUACAAACAGAUGGAGCCUGAAAGGGUGACAUCGUACCUUUUGUAUAAUGGGUCAGCGACUUAGUGUAUCGAGCAAGCUUAAGCCGGUAGGUGUAGGCGCAGCGAAAGCGAGUCUGAACAGGGCGUUCAGUUCGAUGCAUUAGACCCGAAACCGAGUGAUCUAGCCAUGAGCAGGUUGAAGGUGAGGUAACACUCACUGGAGGACCGAACCCAUAACUGUUGCAAUAGUUCGGGAUGACUUGUGGCUAGGGGUGAAAGGCCAAUCAAACUCGGAAAUAGCUGGUUCUCCGCGAAAUCUAUUUAGGUAGAGCGUCGACCGAAUACCCUGGGGGGUAAAGCACUGCAUGGGCUAGGGGUCCUCACCGGAUUACCAAACCUAAGCAAACUCUGAAUACCCAGGAGUACUAGUCGGCAGACACACGGCGGGUGCUAACGUCCGUCGUGAAAAGGGAAACAACCCUGACCAACAGCUAAGGUCCCCAAGUUAUGGCUAAGUGGGAAAGGAUGUGAGGA
rnacentral:rRNA from 1 species